UCUUCUCCCCCAUCAAGUUCAACCAGUAGGAGCACCCGAAGGAGAGAGAGACGAUUCUCAGAUCUCAACCACCACAAGAGAAAGCUCAAAGCUUAACCUCGAACCCUUCACUCCGGCCAUGGCGGUGGUUUCCACUUCCCUCACCUCCCAAUUCUCCGGCCCUCCGCCGCUCCUCGAAGCUCGACCGCUCCCUCCCUCCCCGCCGCCCAGUCCUUCACCCGGCACGUCAAUGCUCGAGUCUGCUUCUCUUCUUGUUCUCCUCAUCAGAAGCCGUGCAGAGGCGUCGUUUCCAUGGCCGGUAACGGCAAGUUUUUCGUUGGUGGAAAGACUGGAAGUGUAAUGGAACUAAAGACUCCAUCAGUAAGCUUGUUUCUGACUUGAACAGCUUGAGAUUGGAGCCUGAUGUCG